CCCGGCGGGGUCCUGCGGAGUUGGCGGAGGCUCCUCCAGGGACUGGGGCACCGAUCUGCGUAGAAACGGGUGGCGGGGAAGAGAGGGGAGGAGAGCUCUGAGUGGGAAGCGGAGCCGGGGGCCUGGGACCCGUCGCGUCAGAGCCAGGCAAGUGAACCGGAGCAAACGACUUCCGAUCCAGUCUGCGCUGUUGCGGCUCCCGUUUGGGAUUUGAUUUGCAGCAUCUUUGAGCCUCUACGACAAAAAACCGCGAAGCACGCCCAGCCCUCCCCCGGCACCCCGAAAAGCACCCACUCCCUCCCGGGGACACAGCUGGGCGCGUCCACACCCCCGCAGCCCCACACCAUGUUGUGCGGAAGGACUUCCACUCCCCGCCUGUGUCGUUGAUGUCAGACCCCAGGCCAGCCUCCGGGCGCUGCAGUUCUCCCGGCUAAUGCUGAGGCUGCGGCUCCGGCUCUAGCACAGGCACCAGCCGCCGCCGCACCCGGCCCCAGCGCCCACCGUCUGCAUGUGCCCGCCGUAGCCGUCUGCCCAGCCCGCAGCCCGCGCUCCACGGAGCGCUGGAGACCACCGUGGGGGGCCCCUUCUGCCCUCGAGAGAAGCGGUCUUGGAGGUAUUGAUUUAGGUGGUUGGAUUUUUUCCGUGGAUCUAUCAAUUCACAAUUCGAAUUUGGAAGAAAGAAGGAAAACAUGACGUCUCCAGCCAAAUUCAAAAAGGAUAAGGAGAUCAUAGCAGAGUACGAUACUCAGGUCAAAGGUAAGGGCUUUGAAAAAUAGCACACUGCAAAUGCUCUGUGGACUGGUGAGGCGUGUAUUUCCACCGUGAUUUGCAGGUUGUUCAUUUCUUUGGGUGGAGCAGAUGGGGGCAGGCUGACCCCAGAGGUGGUUUCAUAGAUGGGUCUGAACCUCCAAAGGAUGGGCAAUGCCAGGGGGCCAUUGACACUGGAAAGGAAUUUUUGCAGUGGGCUGUAGGAGUAUCUUUGUGGGGCUGACCAUGAUUUUGGCAGCCCUUUCCCCCCCAAGCCGGACAGGGUGGGGGGAGGGGCAGGAGGCUCUUAGAGAAAGGCAGUUUGCCUCCGGUUCUCUGGGUCAGGUUUCCUUGAAAGACAACUGAAAUCUGACAGGUGUUUGGACAUUUGUUUCAGAGAUUGAAGAGGAGUCCAGACAGAAAGGCAACCUUGGGAAGGUGUACCAUUUGGAGAGCCUUGGGAGAGGCGGGGUUUUUCGGAUGCACUAUAUUAAAACAUGAGAUUUGCAAUGGCAUUGGCACCAAAAGUCCAUUGCCACCUUGGGUGUACCUUGUACCUGCCUGGUCUCUGGUCGGCCUGCAUACAAUCAGAGAUCAGAGAAUAAGGCCACCCACGCCCGGUCUCCGCCCUCACCUAAAUCUGAAUAGAGUUGGGAGGAUGUUAGGGUAGCCGGUUGGUGCUGAUUCUGGAAAAUGGGAAGACAUAAUUGUUUAACCCUUCUGUGCUGUGGCCCUCUGCUCCGGAAGACAUGCUUUUAAAGCCCCAUUUCCCUCUCCUGAAAAAUGUGAAGGGUAAAGCAAAAUGUGGACUAGGAGAAACCAAGUGACCUGUCUUCUCAUCUAGUCGACUGACUUGACUCAUGAAUAAGAGCCCUUACUCAGAUAGCGUUUUUUAAACCAGCAGUUCCCAUAGGAAGGGUUCCUGCCUGUUAAAGAGCUGCAGCAUGUGUUUGUGCAAGGCACUGUCCCUUCCUGGUCAGUCACUGGAAAGAGCCAUGUGGCUCCAGCCCAUUGAGACCUUAGCUGGGGAGUGGAAGAGGUGGGUGGCCUUGAAUGUUACACCACAUGGUUGGAGCUCUGGGUUUUCCUUUGUUUCAGAGUACAGAGGGAGGGGCCCCUCCUUUCCCUGCACCAGUGCAAGGAGACCUUUUCCUAUCAGAGAGGACUUGGGAAGGGCCAUGGCUCCCCUCUAAUGAUUGCUGGGGGGUGGGGGUAGGUGUAGAGUUUGAAAUGGGCAGCUCCCUUAUCUCUUGGAAGGUUGGAAGGUAGUCUGAAGUCCUCAUUGUACCUACAGGAUCUUUUUUAUGUCAUUAGUUUGGUCAGUGCUGGAGGUGCCCUAAGGGGCCUUCUAUCCACUUGGCUGCAAAUAUUGGUAGGUUUAUUACAGAGAUGGGGGAGUUGACUGAUUGAUAGCUUCAGUUGAACUGGGAUUGAGAGAGGUGUGGUUGUGAGUUAUUAUUGAGGUCUUGGCCUCUUGUCACUGUUCAUAAUCCAGGCUUGUUUUUGUAAACAAUAGGCCACUGGCCUCCAUGUCCUGUCCAGAUGCAUUGCAUUUGCUCUUGGAAUCCCCCCUGCAGUUUUAACCAGAUAUGUCUUUUUUU
rnacentral:lncRNA from 1 species